CUUGGUCAUUUAGAGGAAGUAAAAGUCGUAACAAGGUCUCCGUUGGUGAACCAGCGGAGGGAUCAUUACAGAGUUGCAAAACUCCCAACCAUUGUGAACCUACCUCACCGUUGCUUCGGCGGGUGGCGCUCCCUCACCCGGAGCGCCGCGCCGGCCCCUCCCCGGGGCCCGGCAACCCGUCAGAGGCCCGCAACUCUUAGUCAUCAUUGGCCUCUCUGAGUAACUUAUACAAUAAGUAAAAACUUUCAACAACGGAUCUCUUGGUUCUGGCAUCGAUGAAGAACGCAGCGAAAUGCGAUACGUAAUGUGAAUUGCAGAUUUCAGUGAAUCAUCGAAUCUUUGAACGCACAUUGCGCCCGCUAGUAUUCUGGCGGGCAUGCCUGUUCGAGCGUCAUUUCAACCAUCAAGCCCUAGGCUUGCGUUGGAGCCCUGCGGCUGCCGCAGGCUCCCAAAUCCAGUGGCGGGCUCGUCGUCGUACCGAGUGCAGUAAACAUCCUCGCUCAGGGAACGUGACGGGUUCUUGCCGUGAAACCCCCCACAUAUCAAGGUUGACCUCGGAUCAGGUAGGAAUACCCGCUGAACUUAAGCAUAUCAAUAAGCGGAGGA
rnacentral:rRNA from 1 species